rnacentral:rRNA from 1 species
UACGUAGGGUGCAAGCGUUGUCCGGAAUUAUUGGGCGUAAAGAGCUCGUAGGCGGUCUGUCGCGUCUGCUGUGAAAACUCAGGGCUUAACCCUGAGCUUGCAGUGGGUACGGGCAGACUAGAGUGCGGUAGGGGAGACUGGAAUUCCUGGUGUAGCGGUGAAAUGCGCAGAUAUCAGGAGGAACACCGGUGGCGAAGGCGGGUCUCUGGGCCGUAACUGACGCUGAGGAGCGAAAGCAUGUGGAGCGAACAGG